GCGCCCGUAGCUCAGCUGGAUAGAGUACUUGGCUACGAACUAAGGUGUCGGAGGUUCGAAUCCUUCCGGGCGCGCCA
rnacentral:tRNA from 3 species